UACGUAGGGGGCAAGCGUUGUCCGGAAUCAUUGGGCGUAAAGAGCGUGUAGGCGGCCCGGUAAGUCCGCUGUGAAAGUCCAGGGCUCAACCCUGGGAUGCCGGUGGAUACUGUCGGGCUCGAGUCCGGAAGAGGAGUGUGGAAUUCCUGGUGUAGCGGUGAAAUGCGCAGAUAUCAGGAGGAACACCAGUAGCGAAGGCGGCUCGCUGGGCCAUUCCUGACGCUGAGACGCGAAAGCUAGGGGAGCGAACAGG
rnacentral:rRNA from 1 species